UGGUUCCGGCAUCGAUGAAGAACGCAGCGAAAUGCGAUAAGUAAUGUGAAUUGCAGAAUUCAGCGAAUCAUCGAAUCUUUGAACGCACAUUGCGCUCCCUGGCAUUCCGGGGAGCAUGCCUGUUCGAGCGUCAUUGCAAAUCCGGGCCCUCGGGGCCCUGGUGUUGAGUGCCCGUUUUGACCAACGCACUUGAAAGUCAGCGGCGGGGCACUGUGUUUCCCCAGCGCAGUCGGACGAGUUCAUUCGCUCCGGAACCGGUGUGCCGCCCGAACCAUUUGCCCUCGGGCACUUUUUCCACGAUUGACCUCGGAUCAGGUAGGAAUACCCGCUGA
rnacentral:misc_RNA from 1 species